UCUUUGGUAGUAUAGUGGUUAGUAUACCCGCCUGUCAUAUACUGCGCGCGGGUGACCGGGGUUCAAUUCCCCGCCAGAGAG